rnacentral:tRNA from 1 species
AAGGGCUUAGCUUAAUUAAAGCAAUUGAUUUGCAUUCAUUAGAUGUAGGAUAAAGUCUUACAGCUCUUA